AUUGUGCAACACAUAUUCAGUUUGCAAACCAGCCUCCAAGUAUAGAUGAGUCACACACCGUGUUUCCCAAUCCUUUUCAUUCACUCCAGCAGACAACAAUGUUUCAGCAAGUUUUCCUCCGUCAUUUGCAACAAGAGUUUGCAUAGGAGCUGCUUGGCCAUCUUCCUCCCCAACAUCUGGCUCCAGGUUCACAGCUUCCAGGCUAGCGUUCCUGGGUCUCCUAGCUUCCAGUCCAACGUCACUGCCAGUGCCGGCUCCCCGCACCAGGCCGCCAACGUCGCCACCAGUGCCAGCUCACCGCACCAGGCCGCCGGCUUGCCAGAGCCCUCUUCGUCUGGCCCGCCAAGGAAGUCCGCCUCACCUGCUCCGCCUCAUGGGAGGCCGCCGGACGCCUGCUCCUCGUCUGAGCGUCGGUCCCUCGACCUGCAGACCGCCCGACCAGCUCUCUCCAGUCCUGUAUGGCCUGCCGCUCGGCAUUGUUCCCCAGUCUGGUUUUUGGGGUAACAUUUUGUAUUUGCAUUUUUGUAACAGGAGGUUUUUAAACUCAAUUCUAGAUUUUACAGGAAGCCAAUGAAGGGAAGCCAAUACUGAAGAAAGAUGCUCUCUCCUGUUAGUACCUGUUAGUAUUCGAGCUGCAGCAUUUUGAAUUAACUGGAAAGUUUUUAGUUAGUAACUAGGACAUCCUGAAUGUAGGGAGUUACAAUAAUCUAAUCUGGAUGUAACAAAUGCAUGGAUUAAUUUUUCAGCAUCACUCUGGGCCAAGAUAUUCCUGAUAUACCUAUUGGUCCCAAAACUGAACCUUGUGGAACUCCAUGAUUAACUCUGGCAUGCACUGAGGAGAGAUUAUUAACAUGAACAAAGUGGGUUCUGUCUGAUAGGUAGGAUUUAAACCAACCCAGCUAUGUUUCUUUAAUCCCAAAAACACUUUCCAGUCUCUGCAGCAGUAGAUGAUGAUCCACUGUAUCGAAGGCUGCACUGAGAUCUAAGAGCACCAGAGCUGAGACCAACCCUCUGUCUGAUGUUAAGAGGAGAUCAUUGGUUACUUUUACAAAGUGUCAUCAUGCGGACACGUGUUUUUGACAGUAAGAUAGAACUUAUUGAAUGAACCAGGCUCUACAUCCAAAAUGUGAUAAUGAUUUUGAACUUUCAAGCCUUCUCGAGAGGUUUCUUCUUCUGUGCAGCCCACAACAGCUAGGAACUUGUUGUCUCUGUAUUUGAUUCAGAUUCAGAAUACUUUAUUUAUCCCUGAGGGAAAAUUCAGUUUCAGUUACAUCCCGUCCAAGAAACAUGAACAAACAAUCACAUAUAACAUGGGAGUACAGGAGCGGGAGUACUGUGAGUUGCCACAAAGGCAGUGCCUCUUAGAUGGGAAGUGGAAAACAGGAGGUAAGAAGAGGGGGAAAAGGCAGGUCCCAAACUAUGCUCCUUUAGUGAGGGGCACAAUGUGGCAUUAGGGAAAAAAAUUCCUUGGCACACACAGAAGUGCCAAAAAAGCCACUGGGGG
rnacentral:lncRNA from 1 species